CUCACAUAUUCUACAAUAAAACACCAUCUAAGAGACUGGUUGAGAGCCCAUGUCAUUCACAAUUUGAAAUCUCUAGACUGAGUUGAUAUCAAGAUGCUAUCCUCAUCGAGUUUGUUUGAAAACAGCAGUGCAGACUGACCAGAUACCUCUAACAGGGCCACAAGCCUGCGACCCAACAUUUGCAGCCGCUGUUUAACUUUCAACCAGGAUCCUCUGUGGUGCGCCUCGUG
rnacentral:lncRNA from 1 species